AUCGCGCCUAGCCCGGCGAGGCGAAAAGCGAGUUAGGCCAGCUUGUUGGCGCGACUCCUUCAUGGGCG
rfam:Burkholderia udeis isolate LMG 27134 genome assembly, contig: contig000135